AUGUUGGGGGUGGAGGAAAUGUCAAAUAACCUUGAGCGAGAAGUUGAUGCCAUGGAACACAACAUAGCAGUGCCAUUACUGGGGAUUGGCCAUGCAGAAGCAGCGGACAAGCAGUCGACGCCUCCGAAGAACAACUCUAUUUGGGAAGGGGUACCCAGGAAUGAGCUCUUCGUGGCCUCCGAGGAUGGGCCUAGCCUAACCCGACCCUUAAUCUCCUGCAGAGACUCAGAAUCAGUCGUAUUGCAACUCAUUUAAUAUUGUGAUGUUAAACUUCGAAUGUAUUUUUAUGGUAUUCACAGAGUGCCCAGCAUAUGUCAAACGCUGUUCUAAGCGCGGGGGUAGAUCCAAAUUAAAUAGGACACCGUCCCGGUCCCGCAUGGGGCUCACAGUCUAAGUAGGAGAGAGGACAGGUGCCCCCAUUAGCUUAAGGACAUUUACUGCAAUAUACAGCACAUAGAGGAAUUUCAUAUUUUUUAGAAAUUCAGGAAAGGAUCUUAAUUUAUAACUCUGGGAAACCUUCCCACAACACAACUAUAUUGUCAAGGAAAAUAACUCAGUGGUAUCAUGGGGCCUGUCUGUUUUUUUGAAUAGAAGGAGCCCAGUCUAAUGGUAGGAGCACAGGCCUGGGAGUCAGAAGGACCUGGGUUCUAAUCCUGGCUCCACCACUUGGCUGCUGUGUGACCUUGGGCAAGUCGCUCAACUUCUCUGUGCCACAGUUACCUCAUCUGUAGACUGUGAGCCCCAUGUGGGACAGGGACCGCAUCCAACCUGAUUACCCUGUAUCUAUCCCAGGGUGUAGUACAGUGACUGGCACGUAGUAAACCCUUAGCAAAUACCAUAAAAAUAGGUGUAAUAAUAGUCGUGAUAUUUGCUGAGUGCUUAGUAAAAGCACUGUGCUAAAAACUGGGAUAGAUACAGUAUAGGCAGGUGGGACGCCAUCCUUGUCCAACAAGGGGCUCACAGUCUAAGGAUGGGGAGUGAGCAGAUAUUUCAUCUCCAUUUUGCAGGUGAGGCGUCUUAGGCGCAGAGAGGUUAAGCGACUUGCCUAAGGUCACACAGUGAGCAGGUAGCGGAGCCAGAAUUAGAACUCGGGUUUCCUAACUCUCAGGCCCGUGUUCUUCCCACCAAGUCCCUCUGCUUCUCAAUAAUAGCACUUGAUUAAGGACUCCGUCCAUUCUGCACUCUUAGGUUUGAAUUUCAAGUGUUAACUUGUUACGGGCUUGAGCUUAAUGUGGCCCAGACAGAACUCUUUAUCGUCCCACUCAACUCUGGCCUCCCCUUGACUUUCCCGUCCCAUCACUGUAGACGGCACCACCGUCCUCCCCGUCUCGCAAACCCGGAACCAUGCCGUUAUCCUCGAUUCAUCUUGCUCGUUCAACCGACGUUUUCAAUCCCCAGAUCCUCUUGGUUCGACCUUCGUGACGUCGCUAAAAUCCGCGCUUGCCUCUCCCUCCGAACUGCUACGACCUUCAUCCAGAGCGCUUAGCCCAUCCCGCCUGACUACUGCCUCGGCCUCCUUUCCCUGCUCGUUCACCUCCGCGUCAAACAGGAACCCCUCCAAAGCCCUCGAUCGUCUUGCCCCCUCCCACCUCACCUCCCCGGUUUCCCGUUUACAGCCCAACCUACGCCAGUGCCAACCUACUCGCCGUACCUCGAUCUCGCCUAUCUCGCCGACGACCCCUCGCCCACAUCCCGCCUCUGGCCCGGAGCAUCUUCCCUUUUCCUAGCCAACAGACGAUCGCUCCCCCCACCUUCCAAGUCGUAUUAAAAUCACGUCUCUUCCAAGAGGCCUUCCCCAACUAAGCCCUCAUUUUCUCUUCUCCCACUCCCUUCUGCUCCACCGCUGCACUAGGAUUUGCACCCUAUAUUCAGCCCCUGUAAGCUUGAUGUGGGCAAGGAACCGUCUACUGACUCUUAAACUGUACUCUCCCAAGUGCUGAGAACAGUGCUCCGCACACAGUAAGCAUUGGGUAAAUACGAUCGAUGGAGGGGACAGCUCUUAAAAGGAAUUGUUUUAGGAUUUAUAAUGGAACUUCUCUUGACCAGGGCAUAAGGUAUUUCUCUAAAUUGAAGGGAUUAAGGAAAAAUAGUUCAGGAGAGUGCAGGCCUGACUCCAGAUAUUACACAUUUGUGCGAUAAACGGAAGGGCCCAAAUUUAAAUGAUCCAUUUGGGUCCUUGCUUUUUCCUUCAGCGUGCAGUGUUUUCAUUUCUCUUGGGGGUUAUUGCAGUGUUCACAUACGGUUUCUGAAGUACAGUCCGCUCUGCCGUGAUGCAUGCUUUCAUUUUGCAUUUUGGGUAGAACAAGAUGGGCAGAAUCGGGCAACGUUUAUUUCCCGAGCGCUCGUCUGGCUCGGUCAGCGGUAUUUAUUGAGCACCUAGUUUUGGCAGAGCACCGUUUUCUAAGCACUUUGGGAAAGUACCUCGCGCUAAAGGUGGGAGACAGACACAAUCCCUGCCCACAAGAAGCUUACAGUCUGUGGUCUAAAUAGAACCUGAUGUGGUGACGGGAGAAACGGUUCAUUCGGGCAACUUGCACAAUAGCCUGACUGAACGUGACUUCCUGAAGUAUUGGCAGCUCCCGUGAUAAACCUGGUUUAUGUUCCUCGAAAAGGUCAUUGUACCAUAGACUCCCGGGUUAAUACACUACCAUUCCUCCCAGAGCCCCUGGAAAAUGAAAUUCCUUUAUGUGCUUUAUACUGUAAUGAUAAAUCUCACGCAACUGUGGUUCGACCUUAAAGGAUUUCAAAGGAUACCGGCACAGUGAUAAAUGAGGAGUUGUAACAUGCUGAGCCUUUGCAGGAAUAGAAGCCUGUUUCGCUGAUCGGCCGGGUGCCCUAGCGUUAGAAGCAGCAAGGCCCGGCAGAAAGAACGCAGAGCUGGGCGUCCAGACAGUUGGGUUCUAACCUCAGCCCCACCAGUCACCUGCUGAGUGUCCUUUGGUGAGUCACUUGGGAACAGGAACCGAAGUUUCCUAAUCCGUAAAACAGGAAUGAAAUCUGCACACUUUCCCCCCCGCCCCCGACCGUGGGACAGGGACUGAGCUGGAGUUGAUUCAUCUUGUGUCUAGAUACCCCAGUGCUUAGCAGAGUGGCUGGUGUUUGGAAGCACUUAACGGAUGCCGCGGUUAUGAGAAGCAGCGCGGUUUAGCAGAUAAAACCCGGGCCUGGGAGUCAGAGGGACCUGGGUUCUAGUCCCGGCUCCGCCACUUUGUCCGUUCUGUGGGCAGGUCACUUCACCUCUCUGUGCCUCAGUUGCCUCGGGUGUAAAAUGGGGAUUAGGACUGCGAGCCCCAUGUGGGACAGGGACUGUGUCCAAUCUGAUUAGCUCGUAUCUACCCCGGCGCUUAAUACAGUGCCUGGCACAUAAUAAGCACUUCAAUACCAUUAAAAAAAAAAGUCGUCUAACGAGGUGAACGGCAGCCUUCUUUUCUUAAAACAUCUUGUAGCAGGUGAAUUCCUUCUGAACACCUCUGUGCACCUUUGAACUCUUCUCCAUUCUGGUCUUCAAGUGUAUUACUAAGGAAUCAUUUUCUUGAAGCGGUAGUGAAACCGUGACUCCGUCCAUUUUGGCAUUUUCAAAUGAUUGUUGAACUUAGAAGUCUUCGUUGGGCAAUGAUUCCUCUGAAUGAGAUUGCUAUUGAUUCAUCAAACUUUUCUUUGUUUUUUUCUUUGAUAUUUGUUAAGCACUUUCUAUGUGACAGGCACUGGGGUAGACCCAAGCUAAUCAGGUUGUAUUAAUCCCCCUCUGAUAAUAACGAUGGCGUGUGUUAAGUGCUUACACUGUUCUAAGCACUGUUUUGUAGACUGCAAGCUUGGUGUGGGCGGGAAAUGGAUCUGUUUGUUGUUAUAUUGUACUCUCCCAGAUACUUAGUACAGUGCUAUGC
rnacentral:lncRNA from 1 species